rnacentral:lncRNA from 1 species
CCGCCUUACGGGGUGCUGGCGGUAGGAGCGCUCCCUGGGGCGGCGCCCGGCUGCUGGAGGACGGCGUAGCGCUCCGAGGAGCCGGGCGGAAGGGAAGCGCUCAGGGCAACGGCCGCGGCUAAGCCUGAAACCGAGGCGGGGAAGGCGGGAGAGAUGCGCUCGCGUUGGCUGCACCAGCAGCAGGCCGCUGCCUGCAGGCCCGGCGCGGCGCACAAAAUGCAGUGCUGGCGGAGCGGGAGAAUGAAAAGCAAAGGCGCACCCCGUAAUCGGUUCGCCCGCGCCUGGUGCGCAGAGGAGAAAGAGGCUGUGCCUGAGGCACGACACGGCGAGCCGCACCGCUUUUGCCUCCCUGCCAUUUGCUGACAGCCGCAUUCUGCAGGGACGGGAUUCAGAGCCGCCCUGACGUUACGCAGAAUAACGUCCGCGUUUCACUGCACUGCACAGCGCAGUCGGGUUGCUUUUCCCACUGCCACCCUUUCCCCAUACCUUCAGUCUCAAAACCAUCAUGUAGAGGAAUACAGGAAUGAUCCCAAAGGGCAACUGGUGCUGAAAAGAUAUGUUUCAGAAAGAUAAAGGGGAAAUUAAGAACAUCUAGAGUGGUAAGAUCUGCAUUAGCAAGUGGUCAUGUUGUAAGCAGGCAAG